rnacentral:misc_RNA from 1 species
GGAGGGAUCAUUCACAUGAUUUACUUUUAACAAACUGUGAACUUUAUAUAAAAUACUAUUCGUGUGUAAUUACUUCGGUUAUUAUCACACUGUCAUUCGAUGAACAUUAGAUAGCUGGCUCGUUUUUUAUUAAACUUUCUCAGCUGAUUUGUUUUUGUUAGACUAAACAUCUAUUCAAUACAAUCAACCAAACAUAGAAACAACUCUAUGCCCUGGAUAUCUUGGUUCUCGCACCGAUGAAGAACGCAGCGAAAUGCGAUAUGUCAUGCGAAUUGCAGAAUUCAGUGAAUCAUCGAAUCUUUGAACGCAAAUUGCAGUCAUGGGAUAGCCCUAUGACUACGCUUCCGGGAGUAUCGGUUUUCUAUCUAGAGCAUCUUUUUUUGUAACAGGAGAAAGAGUUGGUUCUAACAAUGAGAGUCUGACUAUAUUUAUAGUGAGUCUCUUGAAAGAUAGUGAAUUCUUACUUGUAUAUUUUAUAUAUACAAUUUAAUUCUGUGAAACUCAAACAACUUUAUUGUUGUGCCCCUUGACUAUGAUUCAUUUUGAUCUUUAUUGACAAAUUGAUGUGAAUUUAUUUAUUCCCACUCUUGGUCUUCAUGUCUGGUUAAAUAGUUUGUCUAAGAUAAGUAUUUAUACUUUUUGUAACACAAUAUUGUUUAAUACGGUGAGUUCCUGCAUAUGAGUGUUGUUUAUUUGAUUUGCUACGAAACAGUUUGUUGUGAAUGAUAAGUGAAUGUAAUUCAAGUAUGUGGAUUAAAGAGUUUUCUGUGAUUAGUUAAGAUAGACCAUCGGUUUAUAUCAAUAAACCGACCGAUCUCCUCACUUUUACAGUGAUCAGAUGGAUUUUUGUUACUUCAAAAACAACAAAAAACACAAAUGAUCUCCCGUGAAGCGAGACUACCCCCUGAAUUUAAGCAUAUUACUAAGGGGAGGACAAGAAAAUAACUAUGAUGCUCUCAGUAACGGCGAGUGAAGCGAGCAAAGCUCAAGCGUAAAAUCGAUCUGUCGUCGGAUAGUAUCGAAUUGUCGAGUGUCAACGUGAUGUCAGCAUAACCAAAUGCAGUAAGUUUUUUGAAACAAAACAUGAUACAGGGUGAGAAUCCCGUAUGUCUGCUGUUUGAUUGUUAUGUGUACGACUCAUGUUUAUCGAGUCGAGUUGUUUGGGAUUGCAGCUCUAAUUCGGUGGUAAGUUUCAUCGAAAGCUAAAUAUAGGCGAGAGACCGAUAGCGAACAAGUACCGUGAGGGAAAGAUGAAAAGAACUUUGAAAAGAGAGUGAAAAAGUACUUGAAAGGGUAUAGAGGGAAGCGAGCCACACUAGUCGAAAAGGAAGAAAUUCUUAUAUAUAAUUUAGAAUGUUUGUUGUUCAAUUUUAUUGUUCAAUUUAUUUAUUUUAUUUUAUCAUAAGUUCAUUUUUUCUUUGAGGUCAGCUUGCUUUAUUUUAAUUCAUAAACAUAAAUAAAAAGGUGAGAUAAAUUUUCGGAUUUAUUUGUUAUAGUUUAUUUAGUUGUCAAGAAUGUAAAAUGAAGGAGGCGUUGUAAGAUAAGUCAUUUAUGGCAUUUUGUUUUUACAAAAUAUUAUUUUACUGAAGCUGACGAUAGGGUGUGGCUCGACCCGUCUUGAAACACGGACCAAGGAGUCUAACAUCUAUGCGAGUAUACGAGUAUAUUAAACUCAUGUGCGUAAUGAAAGUGACAGGUAAGAAACUUUUUAAAAGUGGCAUUAUCGACCGAUCCUCACUUGUGAAAGAUUUGAGUCCGAGCAUAGCUGUUGGGACCCGAAAGAUGGUGAUCUAUGCCUGAACAGGGUGAAGCCAGGGGAAACUCUGGUGGAGGCUCGUAGUGGUACUGACGUGCAAAUCGUUCGUCUGAUUUGGGUAUAGGGGCGAAAGACUAAUCGAACUAUCUAGUAGCUGGUUCCCUC